AGUGAACGCUGGCGGCGUGCCUAAUACAUGCAAGUCGAACGAAGUGGAGCACGGGGGAGUAAUAUAUAGUUAAUCUGCCCUACAAAGAGGAAAAACAGUUGGAAACGAAUGUUAAUACAUCAUAGUGUAGGAUGAGACUAUAUCGUAUCAGCUAGUUGGUAAGGUAAUGGCUUACCAAGGCGAUGACGCGUAACUGGUCUGAGAGGAUGAUCAGUCACAUUGGAACUGAGACACGGUCCAAACUCCUACGGGAGGCAGCAGUAAUGAAUAUUGCGCAAUGGGGGAAACCCUGACGCAGCAACGCCGCGUGGAGGAUUACACUUUUCGGAGCGUAAACUCCUUUUAUCAUGAAAGCGGUACCUAAUGAAUAAGCACCGGCUAACUCCGUGCCAGCCGCCGCGGUAAUUC
rnacentral:rRNA from 1 species